AAAUCAUUGAUUUUUCAGAGUGUUAUUGGCAGCGAAACAAUUCGAACGUAUUUUUGCUGGCUGGAAAGCAACCUCUGAUGGCUGGCUUUAUUCAGCCAACCAUUAGAUUGAAUUCUUCAUUAAAUCGAAUACUACAAAAGAACACCGCCACAGUUCGCUUGGAAAAGAUCUAAUUCAGAGUUAUUAACAGACCAGUUGCACUCUCAAUAGAAAUAAAUAAAAAAUGGAAAAAAUAAAAAAAAUUGUCUACGCGUUCCGGUGGAUUCGAAAUUGCGCUCAGAUUUGUUAUUCUAUUAGAUGAAAUGAGAAGAAGAGAGGACAGAUAGUAUCAAAUUGAAACUUACGACAUC